rnacentral:rRNA from 1 species
UUCGAUUGAGUUUGAUCAUGGCUCAGGACGAACGCUGGCGGCGUGCUUAACACAUGCAAGUCGAACGGUGAUGCCCCUUCGGGGGCGGAUCAGUGGCGAACGGGUGAGUAACACGUGGGCAACCUGCCCCUAGCUCUGGGAUAACCCCGGGAAACCGGGGCUAAUACCGGAUACGACCUCGAUUGGCAUCUUUCGAGGUGGAAAGUUUUUCGGCUAGGGAUGGGCCCGCGGCCUAUCAGCCUGUUGGCGGGGUAACGGCCCACCAAGGCGACGACGGGUAGCCGGCCUGAGAGGGCGACCGGCCACACUGGGACUGAGACACGNCCCAGACUCCUACGG